GCCCCGCCUCGGCUGGCCGGGAGCCGAUAAGGGAGGAGCGACGGGCCCGGACUAGCAUUCGCCGGCCCCGCCCCGACCCGGCCUCCCGUGACAAAGGUGUUUGUUCUGCGCACGCGCGUUCGCAUUCUGGUUACCAAGACAACGAGGAGUCUGCCGGCUCCUGAGUACGCGCGCAAGGCCGGUCAGUGCAGUCGCUGUGGACUGGCCAGCGUUAUUGGAGGUGUUCUCGCGCUCUCCAGGUCUAUCAGGCCAUUGCACCUCUGAGUGCCUGGGAGCCCCGGCUUUUGCUUGGAACGAAGAUACGGGGCCACAAGAGGCCCCGGGGUCGCAAGUUAUACACGGAUGGGACCGUCCUGGGCGGCCCGUGGCCGGACUGCUCUUUGGUCAGUCCCCAGCCGUCGCGACCCAAACGCACAAAACCGAGUAUAAAAACCGAAUCACACAAAGCAGGAUGGCGCAAAAAAGAAAUGCGUUUGAGUUAUUCCUGCCUGUUUUUAAAAUUCCUUUACGCCUGUAUGCACUGAGGCCAGUAAUCCAACUUUUAAAAAUGCCAGCUGGGCGCAGUGGCUCAGGCCUGUAAUCCCUCCACUUUGGGAAGCCGAAACGGGAGGACAGCUUGGGCCCAGCAAUUCGAGACCAGCCUGACCAACAUAGCAAGACCCCAUCUCCACAAAAACCCAGGAUCUGAAGAGAG